rnacentral:lncRNA from 1 species
CAAUCUACCAAAGUAUGUGCGCUUUGCGCAGAAUUUAAGCUAUAAAGACAAGCAAUAAUUAACUCAAUUGGUGUUCCUGGCCUCGCAGUAAUUCGUUAGCCAACUUCCACUCCGGGGCAUAGGCACUCGGGGUCGUCUUGGCCUGCAGAACCCUUCCACAUUCACGAAAUGCCUAAGUCAUGCAAAUGCGACAACCUUUUCUGUAAUAAGUUACACCUCGAAAUCCAUGAACGGUUUGCCUCAUUGGUACAGGUCGCUUGCAAUCACGCCGUACACAUCUUCAUACAUCAGUCCAGAAAUAUGGGGGCCCUUGUGAAGCAGCUGCCCGCGUUUCCAAAGCACGUAUGUUGAUGUGGAAGGUGCUGAAGUAUGUUUGCGAGGAAGAGAAUGGGGCCAGGCUGGAGAGGAAAGUGCAGUGGCAUAUUGGAAUGUGAGUUUAGUCGAAGCGAGUUACAGGGCGUUUGGCGCACGGCGGAAUGUACAUGCAGUCUUGUCGUCGCGCGCGUAUACAAGAACAACUGGAACAAGAACAACAACAACAUCAGCGCGUUUACAGUACACGUCGCGUCGGUCCUCUGCUAAGUUGUAGUAACGAAGAAUAAGGCAUAGGUACAAGUCGUCACACUUGGACGGACAUGCCAGAACAGGCAACAUGAUGGGUGAAGACGCACGCUACCAAGCAUGCACCCGAGCACGCGACUAAUGCUCGUACCAGACGAGAGGUUGUGCGCCACUGCCACGGCCAUGAGCCGACCUAUGCCACCCCUUGUUUCUUGCCUUCCCACGUAAACCGACACCCGUCAAUGAAUAGAGGCGGACUAAUGUGGGCACGUACCAGAUGAGCGGGUCUUUCAUAUACCACGGCCAUAACCACAACUAUGCCGCCCCUUGGUUCUCACCUUACCAUGUAAACGCUGACCGACACCCGUCGCCCAGAAGUGCGCUGUGUCUUCAUCUGCAGAGGCAAAUGCAUGCUUGGUUGAUUCUUGAGAUGCGACCCCCGGUCUUUCGUGCUCGGAAGCCAGCACUCGCGUACCGGAUAUGUUGGCAAUGUUGCAUAGACGCUGCACUUCGGCUUCCGUGCGCAAAACUACCAAAACUACACAUGCUCAACUGAAGACAUUCCCGGUGAAUGUUCAGCAGCGCUUGAGCCUGCUGCUGGCUGACGUCCUUCCGGAGCUGCUGCAACACGUCUAACGCAGGCACGGCCGCAUGCGCAGCAAACAGCUGUUCCAUGCCAUCAGCGGCGUCCAUGUUACUUACACGGGUCCGAACGACUUAUGUGUUCUUUUGUUUAAUUCUGUGUAUGUUAUAUUUAUUGCGUCAGUUUGUAUUUUGACAUUAGUCGGAACAGGGUCCUGUAUGCUUCCUUUUGCAAAAGUGCCUCUUCACGAGCCCAGUCUUGCAAGCUACGACGUAGGCUUUCGGUGCUUUCAGUUACUGCAAAGCAGCCACGCAAUAGUCCAGCCUGCAUGCCGCGUGCGACUGUGGCCAUCGUGCCCACCUGCGCAACGCGCUGGCGCACCUCGGCCUUUUCGCCAAGGUAAAUUAUAUACACUUGUGCAGGCGCGUUUUGCGAUUCGCACGCGCGCAUCCGCGCGGUGAAAUUCGCUCCUGGCUUUUUUGGACGAUGUACGUCCCGUUUAUUCGGCAGAGUACGACCGGUCACAUUUGUGCGAGGGGCUGCUUAAUGAGUACAUCCU